CACCGCGGUUAUACGAGUGACAUACAUUAAUACUUUCACGGCGUAAAGGGUGAUUAAAAACAAUCUAAAAAUACUAAAGUUAAAAACUCGUCAAGCUGUCAUACGCUCUCAUGAACUAAAAAUACACCAACGAAAGUGACUUUAUCAAAAAAGAACUUUUGACCUCACGAUAGUUAAGACC
rnacentral:rRNA from 1 species